UGUUGGGUAGGGGAGCGUUCUGUAAGCCUGCGAAGGUGUGCUGUGAGGCAUGCUGGAGGUAUCAGAAGUGCGAAUGCUGACAUAAGUAACGAUAAAGCGGGUGAAAAGCCCGCUCGCCGGAAGACCAAGGGUUCCUGUCCAACGUUAAUCGGGGCAGGGUGAGUCGACCCCUAAGGCGAGGCCGAAAGGCGUAGUCGAUGGGAAACAGGUUAAUAUUCCUGUACUUGGUGUUACUGCGAAGGGGGGACGGAGAAGGCUAUGUUGGCCGGGCGACGGUUGUCCCGGUUUAAGCGUGUAGGCUGGUUUUCCAGGCAAAUCCGGAAAAUCAAGGCUGAGGCGUGAUGACGAGGCACUACGGUGCUGAAGCAACAAAUGCCCUGCUUCCAGGAAAAGCCUCUAAGCAUCAGGUAACAUCAAAUCGUACCCCAAACCGACACAGGUGGUCAGGUAGAGAAUACCAAGGCGCUUGAGAGAACUCGGGUGAAGGAACUAGGCAAAAUGGUGCCGUAACUUCGGGAGAAGGCACGCUGAUAUGUAGGUGAAGUCCCUUGCGGAUGGAGCUGAAAUCAGUCGAAGAUACCAGCUGGCUGCAACUGUUUAUUAAAAACACAGCACUGUGCAAACACGAAAGUGGACGUAUACGGUGUGACGCCUGCCCGGUGCCGGAAGGUUAAUUGAUGGGGUCAGCGCAAGCGAAGCUCUUGAUCGAAGCCCCGGUAAACGGCGGCCGUAACUAUAACGGUCCUAAGGUAGCGAAAUUCCUUGUCGGGUAAGUUCCGACCUGCACGAAUGGCGUAAUGAUGGCCAGGCUGUCUCCACCCGAGACUCAGUGAAAUUGAACUCGCUGUGAAGAUGCAGUGUACCCGCGGCAAGACGGAAAGACCCCGUGAACCUUUACUAUAGCUUGACACUGAACAUUGAGCCUUGAUGUGUAGGAUAGGUGGGAGGCUUUGAAGUGUGGACGCCAGUCUGCAUGGAGCCGGCCUUGAAAUACCACCCUUUAAUGUUUGAUGUUCUAACGUGGACCCGUGAUCCGGGUUGCGGACAGUGUCUGGUGGGUAGUUUGACUGGGGCGGUCUCCUCCUAAAGAGUAACGGAGGAGCACGAAGGUUGGCUAAUCCUGGUCGGACAUCAGGAGGUUAGUGCAAUGGCAUAAGCCAGCUUGACUGCGAGCGUGACGGCGCGAGCAGGUGCGAAAGCAGGUCAUAGUGAUCCGGUGGUUCUGAAUGGAAGGGCCAUCGCUCAACGGAUAAAAGGUACUCCGGGGAUAACAGGCUGAUACCGCCCAAGAGUUCAUAUCGACGGCGGUGUUUGGCACCUCGAUGUCGGCUCAUCACAUCCUGGGGCUGAAGUAGGUCCCAAGGGUAUGGCUGUUCGCCAUUUAAAGUGGUACGCGAGCUGGGUUUAGAACGUCGUGAGACAGUUCGGUCCCUAUCUGCCGUGGGCGCUGGAGAACUGAGGGGGGCUGCUCCUAGUACGAGAGGACCGGAGUGGACGCAUCACUGGUGUUCGGGUUGUCAUGCCAAUGGCACUGCCCGGUAGCUAAAUGCGGAAGAGAUAAGUGCUGAAAGCAUCUAAGCACGAAACUUGCCCCGAGAUGAGUUCUCCCUGACCCUUUAAGGGUCCUGAAGGAACGUUGAAGACGACGACGUUGAUAGGCCGGGUGUGUAAGCGCAGCGAUGCGUUGAGCUAACCGGUACUAAUGAACCGUGAGGCUUAACCUU
rnacentral:rRNA from 2 species